rnacentral:pre_miRNA from 1 species
CAUGUACUUCCCCGGUUCCAAAUUUUUUGUCUUAAAUCGUAUAAAUACGGAUGUAUCAAUUCAUGUUUAAGUAUUAAAUAUAUAUGUAUCUAAAAAAAAUUAAGACAAGAAUUUUGGGACGGAGGUAGUUUAUA